CUGUUAAUGCUAAUCGUGAUAGGGGUUUUUACUUUGACUGACUCCUACAUGUUAGCAUUAACAG
ensembl:miRNA MIR155 microRNA 155